AGUUGGGGUAGCCCAACUUAUUUUUUUUGGCUUAUAAGUUGUUUUCAGCUUAUAAGCUGCUUUAGAUAAGUUAAGUCAAAUUGACUCAAUUAUUUUUUUGAGCUUAUUUUAAACACAAAAUGACUUUAAGCUGGUCAGCCAAACACUCAAAAAAGCUAAAAACAGCUUAUAAGCCAACUUAUAAGCCAAUCCAAACGGGCUCUUAAUUUCUUAAAUAGGGAAAGCGAUUCUGGAAUGUCAAGCUUUUAGUCGUCUGGCUUCAGUUUUCUGAGAAACAAUUUAUCCAGUAAGAAUUGUCAUUACUUUUUUCUCUAAGUCAACAUCUGCUUCUAUUUCAUUUGGGUAAUGAAGUAAAAGUCGAUCACAAAUCCACCACCACGUGCUGUAUCGCCUCCCAUAACUGCUCUGUCACUUUGAUCACCAAGUAGGUUAUCUUACCACGUUAGGAUACUCAUAACAAAUAACCCUUCUUGGCUGUUUUAGACUUUUUCGCUGCUUACUUUUGACACUAGUGAUUUAACCUUUCUUUGCAAGUGCAGUAAAUUUGAUUAAUAAAAGUUAUAAUUUUUUCCCGUUGAUAUGUUGUUUGUAUAUACAAAUUUGAGACAUAAAUUAUGUGCUUAUUUCCUGUCUUUUAAAUUAUUUUCAACUAUCCGUGUAAAUACAAAAUAUCCCUUUUUCUUUGAUGUAGAAUGUUGGAAGAAGAGCUGCCUGCAUAUGAGUUCUGUUGGUUUUUAUUCUUUCUGGCUGGCAGUUGAGGAGAAUCCUGGCUCGCCUUUUCUAACUCAUCCGAUUGUGAUGCCAUUAAAUGCUAACCUUAAAUAGGAUGAGUCAAUAGUUCCAUUACUCGCAAUAAUGGUUGCUCAUUUGUUUUUGUUUGUGCGUAGUUAUCACCUUUGUGACGAAAGCUGGUGGCUUUUCUUUUGUUUUAUGAUGUAUCUGUAGAGGUAGAGGACUGUGGUAAAGGAGCUAGAAAAUAAUUUGCCUUUGAGAAACUUGAAAAAGAUAUUGCCAUUGCUUUCGAGUAUCAUUGUUUUUAUAUUGCCAUUUACAAGGCUCUGCUCUUGAUAAUUUAUUUGGCUCUACAAAAUGAUUUGUUUUCCUUCGUUGCAAAGAAUUGCUGUUAUUUCUUUCUUACAAACUAUUGUAGUAACUGUUUAAUGUUAAAAUAGUGACCGUUAUAGCUUUCUUGGUCUGUUGGGUUCUCUAAUUUGGCUUUAUUGUUCAGUUGUGCAUAUUCUUAAAAUGUUGUGAGUUGAUCUACUGAAGAGAAUUACAUUAAAAAAAAUGUUUUUCAAGAGCAGAGAAGUUGCAGAACAGAACGACCUUCAAGAAGUGUAGUUUCUCGAAAUGGAGUCUUUUUCUUUCUUUUGUAGUGUUUUGCUGAAAUUCUUUUCACCACCAGAUAAAGUUAUUUACUUUAACGAAAGAUUGCAUUCAAGUUUUAUUACCUUUGUGCAUUUGUAAUAUGUUUGUAUCUUCACUUUAGCUGUCUAUUUUGGAUCAGUCCAAGGUGAAAGUUAGCAUUAUUACAAUUUAUUUCACACGACAGAUUUAUGAACAAAAUUUUGAUAUGAAGAUUUGAAAGGAGGGUAAGUAUACAGAAGAUUUUUGAACUUCUCCUCCAUUGUUCUCUGAAGCUCUUCGGUCUUCCCCUUGGAACUAUCUUAAGACCUUAAAAAACUAUAUAGUUUAUAUAAAGAAAGGGGGAAAACCUGAUCUGGCAUCUUCCAAUGACCAGCAAUUAGAUUUAUCUCCUUUCUCUCUCUCUUUUUUUUUUUUUUUUUUUGCAAUUUUCCGUCAUUUUUUCCUUUUGUCUUACUUAAAUACAACAACAACAUACCCAGUUGAAUCCCACAGUGUUGAGUCUGGGGAGGGUUAAGUGUACGCAGACCUUACCCCCUACCUUCCAAGGUAGGGACUUUUAUCUUACUUAAAUAAAAUACAAAGACCAAAGAAAGUUUUGUCAUUUCCCUGGUUUGUUGCUCCAUGAUGCCUGCCAUUUCUGAAUCCUACGAGAUGCCUCCCCAACAGAAUUCUAGGAGAUGCCUCCACGAUGAAAAGUCGCUUUUAUGAGGAGAAGAUUAUGUCGUAUUUAGUUGUUUGUUUCUAUCAUCGGUUAAUGCAGAGAAUGACGGGCAGUUUCUAAUGUUGUUGGAGUAUUUGACUCUACCAGUACUGAUGGAUUUGUACCCUGGAUUCUUUGUGAUCUGCACACCAAAUUAACAUCAGUUUGUGGUUUAAUCCUGAUAGUUUCCAAUGCUCUAUAAUUAGUCUAACUAAGAGGUAAGUAAAGCUCCUUCUCAAUAAGGUUAUUAUUCAUUGUGGAGGCGUCUCCUAAUUUCUUCUGGUUUAAAGAAGUUGUAACUAAUCCCUUUUUUCUCAAAAGUUCAAAGAGUGUCCUUAGAUGACUGUCAAUUAGGUAUAUCUGAAGUUGGUGUCAUCGAGAAAUGGAGAGAGAUUUCAUCAGGCUUGACUGUAAAACAAGAAAAAUUGAGGCAGGAGUUGAGACUGUAAAAGGUGAGGUUCAUAGCUUUGUUGUAGAAUGUAGAGAGUAGGAAAGUUUUGUAUGGAACUUUCUUGAAUAUUUAUCUUCAAACGCUGAAAUGGGAGUGAAUGGCAAUCGCUGAAAUGGGCGUGAAUGGCGAUGGACAAAGCAGAUGAAGAGUCAGAGAGAAGGAGCAAGUUCUUGAACUGUUUGAUACUGAAGAAGUUUUCUAGUACUUCUCAAUUGAUAAGGUCUGUUCUUCUAUUGAGGACUUUUGUUGAACCUUUAGAUCAUUGACAGUACAUAGUCUGAAUUCUACUAUGUAAUUUCUGAAAAAUUAAUUUAUGAGAGAUUUUAGUUUGUAUCUUGGAUUGUACAAUCAUGAAAUGUUUUAAAGGAAAAACUGGAAAUGCUUAAAACAAAAAAAGACUUCAUGCGUUGAGCCUUAAAAAAACAACCUUUUGACCUAAGACAGUAUGAGUAUUAAAACGGAAAGGCCGAAAGGCUGAAGGAGGAGGGGGUGGGAGCAAUAUAUGACUAAGUACCUAUGGUAGUCCCUGAAUAAUUAUGCAAGAAAAUAUGAUUUCUUCUACUGGGCAUGUCAAGAUUAUUCUUCUUUGAUUCUUUUUCUUUUUAUAUUGUGCUUCAAUUUUCUCUUGUUAAUGUCAUUUAACUUCUCCUCUUUAUUUGAUUGCCUGAGCCGACGACGAAUUCAAAGGUUCCUUCUCCUCUUUUCUCUCUUUUUGUGCUUCAAGUUUUCUUUUGAUAUUCUCACAUCUAACUUGUCUUAAUUUGGUAGCCUGAUUCAACCGCGAAUUCCAAGAUUCCUUUUUUUGGUUUCCAACUCGGUAUUCGGUGUCCGCAUUGGAGCUUGACUAAAUCCGAUCGCGCGUUGCAGGGCCCAUUUAGGGGCAGCGCUCUCAACAGGAUUUUUUCCAAGGUUCCUUCUUAAUUUACCUACUGAUUUACUUUAUUCACUGCUAAAUGAGAUGUAACAGUUGAUUUGUUUUAAUCGUUCUUCUUAUAUACGAUAUAAUCAUUUCUCUUUGAUUUCUUCGAUGCAGCAGUUUAGAUCUUCAUAGUACAACAUGAUGAUACUUUUAUUAACAAUUGUACCGGGGAAGAAUACCUCUAUGAGCUAAAAUUUUAAGAUUAAAAUUUAGAAUUGAUCCAUGAAUGAAAGGGAACGAUGUCUACGGCUAAUUCUAAGCCUAACAAAAAUGGGCCAGAGUUUUAUCAACUGCUCAAACUUCCAUCUUGAUGAAAAACCAGAAAUGUAAUAAAGGAAUUAGUUGCUUCGUUCUGUUGAACAGGUGAUAGCUGGUGAUUGUGAUGAUAUGUACCUCAAAAGCUCAAAGUACUGCCAACAAUCAGUAUUACCCUUCGUAAAAGAUGAAAGUGGAACUGAGACAGAAAACAUACUACCAAUUUAACAGUUGACGGUUGGUGGAGAAACAAUAAAAAACAAAGAAUUUCACGCAGGGGCGGCAUUACCCCCAAGCUACCAGCGCAGUGGCUUUAGCCCUCAAAAACAUUUGAGGCCUCAAUCCAAAUUGAACUUUAUAGUUGGCAACCUAAAGCAUUCAUAAGUGAAUUUUGAAUCUAGGUGAUGUUUCGCAGAAAUAGUUUUUUUUUCUCUCUCUUUUGAUUGAAAUCUAAAUGACCGAGUAGAUCAGAUUAAAAGUGCAUUUCGAGUGUGUUGCCUCUUAGUUACUGUCAUUUGUCAUUCUACAAGAAACUCAUUCUUAAUUACACGGGUCAAUUAUACAUAACACUGCUUG